GGAUUUGCGGCUGCUGCGGCUCCUCUCUUCCGAUAGCGUUAUCAGUGUGGGUCCGUGACGAACUCCAGCCGCUUCCUUCGCCAUGGCUUCUGCCGCUCCACCUCCCGCCUCCUCCUCUUGGGGGUGCGGUCGUCGACGUCGAGUCCGGUGCUCCGCCGAACGCCAGGGGCUCUUUAGCCGCAUCGCUCCCGUCUACGACAACCAGCUGAACGAGGUGCUGAGCCUCGGCCAGCAUCGGAUCUGGAAGAGGAUGUCCGUCUCUUGGGCCGGAGCGAAAAGGAGCGAUCGAGUUCUAGAUUUGUGCUGUGGAAGCGGUGAUCUGGCGUUCCUCCUGUCCCAGAAAGUCGGACCUGAUGGCCAGGUGAGCGCUCUUGAUUUCUCAAAAGAUCAAUUGUUGAUUGCCACGGCUCGUCAAGAUUUGUACUGGAAGGCUUGCUACAAGAACAUCGAAUGGAUUGAGGGUGAUGCCCUUGAGUUACCAUUCGCAGAUAGCAACUUUGAUGCAAUUACAGUUGGAUAUGGAUUACGUAAUCUGCUUGACAAACAUAAAGCUAUGAAGGAGAUAUUUCGUGUUCUAAAGCCAGGCUCAAGAGUGUCUAUAUUAGAUUUUAACAAGAGCACCUCAACUCUGAUAACACAGUCUCAGGAAUGGAUGAUCGACAAUGUGGUUGUUCCUGUUGCAAGUAACUACGGGUUCUCGAGAGAGUACAGAUACUUGAAAGCCUCAAUUGCUGAAUAUUUAACAGGAAAAGAGUUGGAGAAGCUUGCCAAGGAAGUGGGAUUUUCCGAUGCUAAGCAUUAUGAAAUUGCUGGAGGCCUCAUGGGAAAUUUGGUGGCAGCUCGAUAGUGGACAGGACAAGCACUUCGGUGUAAUUUUGGAAUGCUGAUUUUUAAAGAGCGUUGGUUUGUAAAUAGUAUGUUUCGGCUGCUUCUGGUAACAAGACUGAACUAUUGGAUGGUUGGUUGGGGAUCGCUGAUCGCAGAGACGCAGAACCAUUUUAACUUGUCAUUGCGGUCUAUCCUAUCAAGCCAUGCCACCUUUUGAUGCAAUUACCAUGUCGUUCGGUUAAUGAAGGCUUCCGAAGGGUAAUGCUUACAUGUAUCCACACAUUCGCACGCACGAAUCUACUACUUGAUUGUUGUAACAAAUUCACAAUCCAUGUAGAGUCUGACUCCAUAAAUCUGCUGUGUAUAUUGUAUAGAAUAAAUGGAAAGGGAAAAAGACGAUUAGGGAAACUA